UACGGGGGGGGCAAGCGUUGUUCGGAAUUACUGGGCGUAAAGGGCUCGUAGGCGGCCAACUAAGUCAGACGUUGAAAUCCCUCGGCUUAACCGGGGAACUGCGUCUGAUACUGGAUGGCUUGAGUUUGGGAGAGGGAUGCGGAAUUCCAGGUGUAGCGGUGAAAUGCGUAGAUAUCUGGAGGAACACCGGUGGCGAAGGCGGCAUCCUGGACCAACACUGACGCUGAGUGAGCGAAAGCCAGGGGAGCAAACGGG
rnacentral:rRNA from 1 species